rnacentral:misc_RNA from 1 species
AAGGAUCAUUACCACACCAAAAAAAAAUUCCACGUGAAACUUGAUGUUUUAGUUCUUGUGUCUUCCUUCUUUUGCUUUGUGUAAGAGAAGUUGAGGACUGAACGAAGGUUUUGUGCUUAUUUUGAGUGCAUUACCGAUGUAAACUUUUAAACCCUUUUUUUUAAUUACUGAUAUUAUUGCAGGAAUGAAAAUUCUUGCUCUUAACCUAUACAACUUUCAACAGUGGAUGUCUAGGCUCGC